rnacentral:rRNA from 1 species
GUGCCAGCAGCCGCGGUAAUACGUAGGUGGCAAGCGUUGUCCGGAUUUAUUGGGUUUAAAGGGUGCGUAGGCGGCCUAUUAAGUCAGUUCUGAAAUAUCCCGGCUUAACCGGGAGGGUGGGAUUGAUACUGAUGGGCUUGAGUGGAGUCGAGGUAGGCGGAAUUGACGGUGUAGCGGUGAAAUGCUUAGAUAUCGUCAAGAACACCGAUAGUGUAGACAGCUUACUAGACUUCAACUGACGCUGAGGCACGAAAGUGUGGGGAUCAAACAGGAUUAGAAACCCUUGUAGUCC